rnacentral:tRNA from 1 species
GAUGGAGCUCAGUGGUAGAGUAUGUGCUUAGCGUGCACAAGGACCUGGGUUCCAUUCCCAACAGCAUCA